rnacentral:rRNA from 1 species
AUUGAACGCUGGCGGCAGGCUUAACACAUGCAAGUCGAACGAGUGGCGGACGGGUGAGUAAUGCUUGGGAAUCUGGCUUUUGGAGGGGGAUAACGACGGGAAACUGUCGCUAAUACCGCGUACCAUAGGAUGAGCCCAAGUGGGAUUAGGUAGUUGGUGGGGUAAAGGCAAACCAAGCGGACGAUCUCUACCUGGGCUGAGAGGAUGACCAGCCACACCGGAACGGAGACGCGGCCCGGACACCCACGGGGGGCGGCAGUGGGGAAUGUUGCGAAAUGGGGGCAACCCUAACGCGGCCAGGCCCCGUGAGUGAGGAAGGCCGUAGGGUUGUAAGGUUCUGUAGGUAUUAAGGCGUUAAAUACAGAAGAAGCACCGGCUAACUCCGUGCCAGCAGCCGCGGUAAUAC